AUGCAUCAAAUGAAAGUAAAAACUCAAAGUUUGAGUUAUUUAUGGCUAAGAAGCGUUAUAUUCGAAAAAUUAGGCGCGGAAAUCAUCGGAACGGAAUCGCGGGAAAAUUACAUGGUUGCCUCCAAACGUAUCAACGGAUUCAAAAAAAGUGGUUCCCAUGAAUUAAUUCCAAGUGGAGGUGUUACUUUCAAAAUCAGGCAGCCGUGUGUAUUUUUUGCGUUUCACCCGGAAUUAAACUUACACAUGAGAUAA